UCCUCCAAGAAGGUCGCGUCCAUCUUUUUAAAGAACCAGCGACCUAAGGAUCACCGUUGAAACAUCUACAGUCCUUCGCUCUGUCAACUGAGCUAUCGAGGG